CUCUAUGGCCAUACCACCCUGAACGUGUCCGUUCUCGUCUGAUCUCGGAAGCUAAGCACGGUCGGGCCUGGUUAGUACUUGGAUGGGAGAAAGUCAAUUUACUUCUUUGGGCUUCAGUUUCCUCUAUGGC
ensembl:rRNA 5S_rRNA 5S ribosomal RNA